AAAAGUAAAAUUUGUAUGGAGUUGGAACGUUUGCCUACGUUUGCCGCCAGGGGCGCUGUUCCAACUGCAUACAAAAUUGAGUUA
rfam:Bombyx mori DNA, contig: Bm_scaf6_contig5528, strain: p50T/Dazao, build 2, whole genome shotgun sequence.